UUGGUAUCAAGUCUGGGUUGGUCAAGAUUUCGGUUAGUGGACUAGGAAAGUAGCCUUGCCCAGCAUGUGCAAGUCCCUGGGUUCAAUUCCCAGCACAAAAACAAAACAAAACAAAAUUUCAGUUCCGUCACCUGGUGGUCAUGUGACCUUGAUGAACAAAAAAACACCAAGCAUGGUGGUACUCGCCUGUAAUCCCAGCCACUGGGAAGGCUGAGGAAGGAGGGUCACAAGUUUGAGGCCAGCCUCAGCAAAUUAGUGGGACCUGUCUCAAAAAAUAGAAAGGACUGGGGAUGUGGCUUAGUUGUCAAAUGCCCCUGGGUUCAAUCCCUGGUACCAAAAAAAAAAAAAAAAGCCUAACUCAUCAUCUGCAAAACAGAAACAAUAUUUACCCUGCAGAAGUUUGCAGAUUUAGAAAUGAGGAUAGUAAAUGAUCAAUAGUAAAUGCUGUUACUGUUACUAUUUUCCAAACAUCCAGACUCACUAGGAUGGCUCUGGGACUCUCAUCUUUCUAAAAAGCAGGCCUCUCUUCUAGGAUCCAAGAUCCAAUUAUAGAGCAGUCCUAGAAUUCGCCUGCACUAGCGUGAUAGUAAGAAGCUGAUACUGAGGUAGGUGUGGUGGUGUCGUAAACAUGUGGUCCUUGCUGCUUGUGAGGAUGAGGCAAGAGGAUCACUUGAGCCCAGAAGUUGGGCAACAGAGCUAUAUUCUCCUAAAAAAGAAAGAAACAUUAAAAAAAAAAAAACAAAAAACUUAAUUUGACUGGAGGUUUAGCACAAUGGUGGAACACGUGCUUAGCAGGCAUAAGACCCUGAGUUCAAUCCCUAGCCCCCCAAAAUAAAAAAAUAAAGUAGUUACGUGUCACCCAGCGGUUACGGGCUCUUGUCUCCCUGUAGCCAGGAGACAUCUGGGGAAACAUCUUGAUCUGAAGGAGUGAGUUUAUUGGCCACCAGGUUGUGAGUCCUGUGGGACAAGGGCCUGGAAGCUUCCUCCUUUCCUCCUGGGUCUCGCAGCAGAAGGAACACAGAACUUUCUGGCGUUCUGAGUAGGAAGAGGCCACGUAGCUGCCUGUUCCCAUAGGAUUUGGGGCGGAGAGCCUUUGUGGAAGGCCCUAGUGACCACCCUCCUACUUUGCCUACCUGGGGGGGGGGGGGUGAGAAGCAGGGCUGGGGUAGGUGUGGUCCUCCAGCCCUAGGGGAGGGGACAGGGCCUAAAUGCAGGCCAAGUGUCCUGAGCUUUCCCUUCUUCUCUUCCCACCCCCAGCCUCCCAUCUCUGUCACCCAGUAUAACCCCCAUAGGUGAGCCUGGAAGGAGCCUCCCAAUUCCAGGCACACAAUGGGUGCUUACUAAUUGUUGGUGGAGUUGAAUCACACGCAGGCCAUUGAAUGGGAGGGAAGGGGCUUUCUGUGAACUCAGUCCAGGACAGGCAGCCUGUGGGUGGGCACCAUCCCAGGAUCAACUGCCGGCAGUGGAUGGGAGCCCCACCCUAUCGGGUAUGCCUGCUGCCGAAACCUGGCAGCCACCCCAGGUUCCUCCCAUCCCCCACCCCACCCCCAUGGCUCACUCUGCCUCCUCCUGAACUCAGCUCUACCGGCCCCCCCACCCCCAUCCUCCUCUAGGCUGCCAUGAUUUCCGGCCCAGAUGGCCGAGUUAUAAAUGAAACCUUGCACGUAGUCCUGCUCUCUUCUAACCUG
rnacentral:lncRNA from 1 species